rnacentral:rRNA from 1 species
UGAGGAAUAUUGGUCAAUGGGCGAGAGCCUGAACCAGCCAAGUAGCGUGCAGGAUGACGGCCCUAUGGGUUGUAAACUGCUUUUAUGUGGGGAUAAAGUGCGUGACGUGUCAUGCAUUGCAGGUACCACAUGAAUAAGGACCGGCUAAUUCCGUGCCAGCAGCCGCGGUAAUACGGAAGGUCCGGGCGUUAUCCGGAUUUAUUGGGUUUAAAGGGAGCGUAGGCUGUCUAUUAAGCGUGUUGUGAAAUAUACCGGCUCAACCGGUGGCUUGCAGCGCGAACUGGUCGACUUGAGUAUGCAGGAAGUAGGCGGAAUUCAUGGUGUAGCGGUGACAUGCUUAGAUCUCAUGACGCACUCCGAUUGCGCAGGCAGCUUACUGUAGCAUAACUGACGCUGAUGCUCGAAAGUGCGGGUAUCAAACAGG